GAUGAACGCUAGCGGGAGGCCUAACACAUGCAAGCCGAGCGGUAUUUGUUCUUCGGAACAGAGAGAGCGGCGCACGGGUGCGGAACACGUGUGCAACCUGCCUUUAUCUGGGGGAUAGCCUUUCGAAAGGAAGAUUAAUACCCCAUAAUAUAUUGAUUGUCAUCACUUGAUAUUUAAAACUCCGUUGGUUAUAGAUGGGCACGCGCAAGAUUUGAUAGUUGGUUAGGUAACGGCUCACCAAGUCAAUGAUCUUUAGGUGGCCUGAGAGAGUGAUCCCCCACACUGGUACUGAGACAAGGAACAGACUCCGACGGGAGGAAGCAGUGAGGAAUAUAGGAGAAAGGGUUAGCGCCUGAUCCAGCCAUCCCGAGUGAAGGACGACGGCACUAUGGGUUGUAAACUUCUUUUGUAUAGGGAUAAACUACUCUCGUGAGAGUAGCUGAAGGUACUAUACGAAUAAGCACCGGCUAACUCCGUG
rnacentral:rRNA from 1 species